GGGCUAGUGAAGCUCUCACAGACCCUCUCUCUCACCUGUGCUGUCUCUGCAUUCUCCAUCACAACCAGUGCUUCCUGCUGGAGCUGCAUCCAUCACCCCCCGCAAGGAAGGGACUGGAGCGAAUCAGGUGCACAGGUCAUGAGGGAGUGCACAUUCCAACCCACUCCUCAAGAGUCCAGUCACUAUCUCCAGAUCCACAUCCAAAAAACAGUGUUUCCUGUAGCUGAGCUACCUGAGCAACAAGUACA
rnacentral:lncRNA from 1 species